GGAUCCAGACUUUGAUCAUGGCUCAGGAUGAACGCUAGCUACAGGCUUAACACAUGCAAGUCGAGGGGAAACGACAUCGAAAGCUUGCUUUUGAUGGGUGUCGACCGGCGCACGGGUGAGUAACGCGUAUCCAACCUGCCCAUCACUUGGGGAUAACCUUGCGAAAGUAAGACUAAUACCCAAUGAUAUCUCAAGAAGACAUCUGAAUGAGAUUAAAAAUUUAUCGGUGAUGGAUGGGGAUGCGUCUGAUUAGCUUGUUGGCGGGGUAACGGCCCACCAAGGCGACGAUCAGUAGGGGUUCUGAGAGGAAGGUCCCCCACAUUGGAACUGAGACACGGUCCAAACUCCUACGGGAGGCAGCAGUGAGGAAUAUUGGUCAAUGGGCGAGAGCCUGAACCAGCCAAGUAGCGUGCAGGAUGACGGCCCUAUGGGUUGUAAACUGCUUUUAUAAGGGAAUAAAGUGAGUCUCGUGAGACUUUUUGCAUGUACCUUAUGAAUAAGGACCGGCUAAUUCCGUGCCAGCAGCCGCGGUAAUACGGAAGGUCCGGGCGUUAUCCGGAUUUAUUGGGUUUAAAGGGAGCGUAGGCCGGAGAUUAAGCGUGUUGUGAAAUGUAGAUGCUCAACAUCUGCACUGCAGCGCGAACUGGUUUCCUUGAGUACGCACAAAGUGGGCGGAAUUCGUGGUGUAGCGGUGAAAUGCUUAGAUAUCACGAAGAACUCCGAUUGCGAAGGCAGCUCACUGGAGCGCAACUGACGCUGAAGCUCGAAAGUGCGGGUAUCGAACAGGAUUAGAUACCCUGGUAGUCCGCACGGUAAACGAUGGAUGCCCGCUGUUGGUCUGAAUAGGUCAGCGGCCAAGCGAAAGCAUUAAGCAUCCCACCUGGGGAGUACGCCGGCA
rnacentral:rRNA from 1 species